rnacentral:tRNA from 1 species
GAGGGUAAAGCUCAAGUGGUGGAGUGCGUGCUUGGCAUGCACAGGGUCCUGGGUUCAACCCCUAGUACCUCCU